UACUUCUUGAUCCACAGAGUGGGAAGGAGA
rnacentral:piRNA from 1 species